rnacentral:misc_RNA from 1 species
UCCUAGUUAACCUAGGCAGUCUCAUUAGAGUCCCCACCUUGCGUGUUGGCAACUAAUGAUAAGGGUUGCGCUCGUUGCGGGACUUAACCCAACACCUCACGGCACGAGCUGACGACAGCCAUGCAGCACCUAUACAUGUGUCCUUGCGGAAAAUAACAUUUCUGUUAUCGCCACAUGCAUUUCGAGCCUGGGUAAGGUUCUUCGCGUUGCAUCGAAUUAAACCACAUGCUCCACUGCUUGUGCGGGCCCCCGUCAAUUCUUUUGAGUUUCACUCUUGCGAGCGUACUCCCCAGGCGGCAUACUUAUCGCGUUAGCUUCGACACAGGCAGGGUUGAGCCCACCUACACCAAGUAUGCAUCGUUUACGGCAAGGACUAC